rnacentral:rRNA from 1 species
GAUGAACGCUAGCGGCAGGCUUAACACAUGCAAGUCGAGGGGCAGCAUGGAGGUACUUCGGUACUUUUGAUGGCGACCGGCGCACGGGUGCGUAACGCGUAUGCAACCUACCUUUAACAGGGGGAUAAUUCGGGGAAACCUGGUGUAAUACCCCAUAAUAUUAUAUAUGGCAUCAUAUAUAGUUGAAAGUUCCGGCGGUUAAAGAUGGGCAUGCGUUGUAUUAGCUAGUUGGUGAGGUAACGGCUCACCAAGGCAACGAUACAUAGGGGGACUGAGAGGUUUACCCCCCACACUGGUACUGAGACACGGACCAGACUCCUACGGGAGGCAGCAGUGAGGAAUAUUGGUCAAUGGACGCAAGUCUGAACCAGCCAUGCCGCGUGCAGGAAGACGGCUCUACGAGUUGUAAACUGCUUUUGUACGAGGGUAAACGCAGAUACGUGUAUCUGUCUGAAAGUAUCGUACGAAUAAGGAUCGGCUAACUCCGUGCCAGCAGCCGCGGUAAAAC